GAGCCCGUACGGUGUGUCGUUGGCGAUUCGGACCGCCUCCUGCUCGGUCGCGAAGCGGGCGAUCCCCGCGACCGGGCCGAACGUCUCCUCGCAGCUCAUGGCCAUGUCCGCGGUCACGUCCACGAGAACGGAGGGCUCGAAGAACUGCCCCUCGAGCCGGUUCCCACCUAGGACUCGCUCGGCCCCGCGCUCGAGGGCGUCGGCGACGUGGCGCUCGACCUUCUCGACACCGG
rnacentral:misc_RNA from 1 species